ACAACCUCCGUAACGCUAACAUCUACCGUUCCUCCCAAAAAACAAGCCCAGUCAAACAUCUCUCGAUCGGAAAAUUGGUCCACUCGCCCUCGCACGCGCUCUUUAGUCUCCUUGAUCCCAACAGAAUAACAAACCCAAAACCCCAAAAAGUACGACAAGUUCAAAAUCCCCAAAUAUCCACCAAACCCUAGAUAAAAGCUCAACAUCUCGGGGAAGACUGAAGUUUUCCACGGGAGAAUCUCUCGGUAAAGGGAGAAAUCGCCGCCGAAUAUGGCGUCGUCGACUUCAAAUUCGCGAAAUUCGGAUCUAUCCCGACGCUCUACUACUUCUUCCUCUACAAAACCCCUACUUUUAACCGAUCAAAAAACCAACGACGAUAACGAAAACAGAUUGAGCUCUACAAUGACGGUCGAUGGCAUCCUCCGAAACGUUUACUCGGUCGCUACGUCGACGGAGACCACUCUGGUUGACGCUUCCAUAACUUUGAUCGACGCUCCGAUUCCGAAUUCGGUCUCUGAUAAUCCCGAAGUUCCUCAGGUUCAAACCGUCGCGGAUUGUAAUAACAAUGUGGCGAAAAGUGUAGACGAGGUUUGGAGGGAAAUUGUAUCCGGCGAGAGGAAAGAGAUCACGAUGAAGGAGGAGGUGCCCGACGAGAUGAUGACUUUGGAGGAUUUCUUGGCGAAGGCCGGUGCAGUGGAGGAAGCGGCGGCCGUUGCGUCGGCGGAGGUUAAGUUGCAUCCGGAUAGAUUGAGUGGUGGAGUCUACACGUUUGAUCCGGUGGGAGGGGGUGCAUUUCAAAUUCUGGAUAAGAUGGAGGGGUCAAUUGUUGGGCUGGGGAACGGGAUGGAAGUUAUUGGAAGUGGAGGGGGUGGAGGGAGAGGGAAGAGAGGAAGAGGGGUUUUGAUGGAGCCGUUGGACAAGGCUGCCCAGCAGCGCCAGAGAAGGAUGAUUAAGAACAGGGAAUCUGCUGCCCGGUCUCGGGAAAGGAAGCAGGCAUACCAAGUUGAAUUGGAAUCCUUAGCUGUGAAGCUGGAAGAGGAGAAUGAAUGGCUGUUGAAAGAAAAGCAUUGCUGGGUUUAAGUGGCUUGAUGCAUCUAGCAACAAUAAGUUUCACAGUGAUCUCUUUGAUUCUACUUUAAUUUCCUUGGCCUCUACGUCCAUGGCCUUUGUUGGAUUUGGUUAGUGAUUAUUCACUAUAUGAGUUUCCAAGUUACUUGCUGAGAGAACUAAGGAACGAUUUAAGCAGCUUAUGGAGAAGGUGGUUCCAGUUGUCGAGCAGCGAAGACCACCGCGUAUGCUACGUAGAGUUCGAUCUUUGCAGUGGUAGAUAUUAUUUUCUUGAGAUUUGAGUGAGGCAGAAGGGAAAAUACCUAAUCUGACAUAGGGGAGGAAAGGAAUGGGGUAAUAGAAGGGGGCACCAUUAAAUUUAUCUUCCUUUGAAUAGCUAUGCUAAAGCUGAUAGUUGUCUAGAGCAGUUGUGGUUCAUGUUGGUCUAUAAACAAAACAUAAAGUGAUUGGAACGAAGGAAAAAUUCCUUGUUAUUGAAUAGAAGAUUUUGUGGCAAAGGAUUGUAGGGGAGGAGGCAUUAAGUUGAUUUAUAUAGGUAAUGAUGGGUUGUUCCUCCUGCAGCUGCAUGUGCAAUAAGGAGCAAAUGAUUCUAGAAUAGUGUACUGUAUUUAUGUGGUGACAACUUAUGGCAGCCCUUUUGACAAGAAUUUAGAAAAGGUCAGUAAUUAUCUGUUUA